rnacentral:rRNA from 1 species
CCAACAGGGAUUGCCUCAGUAACGGCGAGUGAAGCGGCAACAGCUCAAAUUUGAAAUCUCCUUCGGGCGAGUUGUAAUUUGCAGAGGAUGCUUCGGGCGCGGCGCCUUCCAAGUCCCCUGGAACGGGGCGCCUUAGAGGGUGAGAGCCCCGUACGGUUGGACGCCAAGCCUGUGUGAAGCUCCUUCGACGAGUCGAGUAGUUUGGGAAUGCUGCUCAAAAUGGGAGGUAGACCCCUUCUAAAGCUAAAUAUAGGCCAGAGACCGAUAGCGCACAAGUAGAGUGAUCGAAAGAUGAAAAGCACUUUGAAAAGAGGGUUAAAUAGCACGUGAAAUUGUUGAAAGGGAAGCGCUUGUGACCAGACUUGCGCCGGGGCGAUCAUCCAGCGUUCUCGCUGGUGCACUCGCCCCGGUUCAGGCCAGCGUCGAUUCGGAAGGGGGGACAAAGGCGCCGGGAACGUAGCUCCUCGGAGUGUUAUAGCCCGGCGUGCAAUGCCCCCGUCUGGAUCGAGGUUCGCGCUCUGCAAGGACGCUGGCAUAAUGGUCAUCAGCGACCCGUCUUGAAACACGGACCAAGGAGUCGAGGUUCUGCGCGAGUGUUUGGGUGUCAAACCCGCACGCGUAAUGAAAGUGAACGUAGGUGAGAGCUUCGGCGCACCACCGACCGAUCCUGAUGUUCUCGGAUGGAUUUGAGUAAGAGCGUUGGGCCUCGGACCCGAAAGAUGGUGAACUAUGCUUGGAUAGGGUGAAGCCAGAGGAAACUCUGGUGGAGGCUCGCAGCGGUUCUGACGUGCAAAUCGAUCGUCAAAUCUGAGCAUGGGGGCGAAAGACUAAUCGAACCAU